UGAGGAACAUGACCUUCGGCGGGGGAUAGCCGGCCCAACGGCCGGGUAAUACCGCGUACGACCACAUGGGACAUCCCUGAGUGGUGAAAGCAGCAAUGCGCCGAUGGAGUGCCUCGCGGCCUAUCAGCUAGUUGGUGAGGUAACGGCUCACCAAGGCAACGACGGGUAGCUGGUCUGAGAGGAUGGCCAGCCACAUUGGGACUGAGACACGGUCCAGACCUNUACCGGGAGG
rnacentral:rRNA from 1 species